GACGAACGCUGGCGGCGUGCCUAAUACAUGCAAGUUGAGCGCUGAAGGUUGGUACUUGUACCAACUGGAUGAGCAGCGAACGGGUGAGUAACGCGUGGGGAAUCUGCCUUUGAGCGGGGGACAACAUUUGGAAACGAAUGCUAAUACCGCAUAAAAACUUUAAACACAAGUUUUAAGUUUGAAAGAUGCAAUUGCAUCACUCAAAGAUGAUCCCGCGUUGUAUUAGCUAGUUGGUGAGGUAAAGGCUCACCAAGGCGAUGAUACAUAGCCGACCUGAGAGGGUGAUCGGCCACAUUGGGACUGAGACACGGCCCAAACUCCUACGGGAGGCAGCAGUAGGGAAUCUUCGGCAAUGGACGAAAGUCUGACCGAGCAACGCCGCGGGAGUGAAGAAGGUUUUCGGAUCGUAAAACUCUGUUGGUAGAGAAGAACGUUGGUGAGAGUGGAAAGCUCAUCAAGUGACGGUAACUAACCAGAAAGGGACGGCUAACUACGUG
rnacentral:rRNA from 1 species